rnacentral:rRNA from 1 species
UCUGGUGAUCCUGCCGGGACCCGACUGCUAUCAGAGUGGGACUAAGCCAUGCGAGUCAACGUAGUAAUACGUGGCAUACGGCUCAGUAACACGUAGUCAACAUGCCCAGGGGACGUGGAUAACCUCGGGAAACUGAGGAUAAACCGCGAUAGGCCAUAAUUCCUGGAAUGGUUUAUGACUGAAACCUACAUGGCCCCUGGAUUGGACUGCGGCCGAUCAGGCUGUUGGUGAGGUAAUGGCCCACCAAACCUAUAACCGGUACGGGCUCUGAGAGGAGAAGCCCGGAGAUGGGCACUGAGACAAGGGCCCAGGCCCUAUGGGGCGCAGCAGGCGCGAAACCUCUGCAAUGGGCGAAAGCCUGACAGGGUUACUCUGAGUGAUUUCCGCUAAGGAGAUCUUUUGGCAGCUCUAAAAAUGGUGCAGAAUAAGGGGUGGGCAAGUCUGGUGUCAGCCGCCGCGGUAAUACCAGCACCCCGAGUGGUCGGGACGAUUAUUGGGCCUAAAGCAUCCGUAGCCGGUUGUGCAAGUCCUCCGUUAAAUCCAGCCGCUCAACGGAUGGGCUGCGGAGGAUACUACAGGACUAGGAGGCGGGAGAGGCAAGCGGUACUUAGUGGGUAGGGGUAAAAUCCUUUGAUCCAUUGAAGACCACCAGUGACGAAGGCGGCUUGCCAGAACGCGCUCGACGGUGAGGGAUGAAAGCUGGGGGAGCAAACCGGAUUAGAUACCCGGGUAGUCCCAGCUGUAAACGAUGCCGACUCGGUGAUGGGCUAGCCUCGUGUCAGCCCAGUGCCGCAGGGAAGCCGUUAAGUCUGCCGCCUGGGGAGUACGGUCGCAAGACUGAAACUUAAAGGAAUUGGCGGGGGAGCACCACAAGGGGUGAAGCCUGCGGGUUCAUUGGGACUCACGCCGGG